rnacentral:rRNA from 1 species
GUGGGGAAUAUUGGACAAUGGGCGAAAGCCUGAUCCAGCAAUGCCGCGUGAGUGAUGAAGGCCCUAGGGUUGUAAAGCUCUUUUACCAGGGAUGAUAAUGACAGUAGCUGGAGAAUAAGCUCCGGCUAACUCCGUGCCAGCAGCCGCGGUAAUACGGAGGGAGCUAGCGUUGUUCGGAAUUACUGGGCGUAAAGCGCGCGUAGGCGGUUUUUUAAGUCAGAGGUGAAAGCCCGGGGCUCAACCCCGGAAUUGCCUUUGAAACUGGAAAACUUGAAUCUUGGAGAGGUCAGUGGAAUUCCGAGUGUAGAGGUGAAAUUCGUAGAUAUUCGGAAGAACACCAGUGGCGAAGGCGACUGACUGGACAAGUAUUGACGCUGAGGUGCGAAAGCGUGGGGAGCAAACAGGAUUAGAUACCCUAGUAGUCC